CCUACGGGUGGCUGCAGUGGGGAAUAUUGCACAAUGGGGGAAACCCUGAUGCAGCGACGCCGCGUGAAGGAAGAAGUAUUUCGGUAUGUAAACUUCUAUCAGCAGGGAAGAAAAUGACGGUACCUGACUAAGAAGCCCCGGCUAACUACGUGCCAGCAGCCGCGGUAAUACGUAGGGGGCAAGCGUUAUCCGGAUUUACUGGGUGUAAAGGGAGCGUAGGCGGUUUAGCAAGUCAGAAGUGAAAGCCCGGGGCUCAACUCCGGGACUGCUUUUGAAACUGUUGAACUAGAUUGCAGGAGAGGUAAGUGGAAUUCCUAGUGUAGCGGUGAAAUGCGUAGAUAUUAGGAGGAACACCAGUGGCGAAGGCAGCAUGCCGGCUUCCGACUGACGCUGAAGCACGAAAGCGUGGGGAUCGAACAGGAUUAGAUACCCGAGUAGUC
rnacentral:rRNA from 1 species